rnacentral:piRNA from 1 species
UACACAGACCAGUGACUUUCUGCA